AGGUGGUUUGUUAAGUCUGAUGUGAAAGCCCCGGGCCUAACCCGGGAAGUGCAGUUGAAACUGGAUAGCUUGAGUACGAGAGAGGAUAGUGGAAUUUCUGGUGUAGUGGUGAAAUACGUAGAUAUCAGAAGGAACAUCGGUGGCGAAGGCGGCUAUCUGGCUCGAUACUGACACUGAGAUGCGAAAGCGUGGGGAUCAAA
rnacentral:rRNA from 1 species